rnacentral:rRNA from 1 species
UGGCGAACGGGUGAGUAACACGUGAGCAACCUGCCCCUAGUUCUGGGAUAACUCCGGGAAACCGGUGCUAAUACCGGAUACGAGACCAAGCGGCAUCACAAGGUCUGGAAAGUUUUUCGACUAGGGAUGGGCUCGCGGCCUAUCAGCUUGUUGGUGAGGUAACGGCCCACCAAGGCGACGACGGGUAGCCGGCCUGAGAGGGCGACCGGCCACACUGGGACUGAGACACGGCCCAG